rnacentral:rRNA from 1 species
UGGAGCUGAAGUCAGUCGAAGAUACCAGCUGGCUGCAACUGUUUAUUAAAAACACAGCACUGUGCAAACACGAAAGUGGACGUAUACGGUGUGACGCCUGCCCGGUGCCGGAAGGUUAAUUGAUGGGGUCAGCGCAAGCGAAGCUCCUGAUCGAAGCCCCGGUAAACGGCGGCCGUAACUAUAACGGUCCUAAGGUAGCGAAAUUCCUUGUCGGGUAAGUUCCGACCUGCACGAAUGGCGUAAUGAUGGCCAGGCUGUCUCCACCCGAGACUCAGUGAAAUUGAACUCGCUGUGAAGAUGCAGUGUACCCGCGGCAAGACGGAAAGACCCCGUGAACCUUUACUAUAGCUUGACACUGAACAUUGAGCCUUGAUGUGUAGGAUAGGUGGGAGGCUUUGAAGUGUGGACGCCAGUCUGCAUGGAGCCGACCUUGAAAUACCACCCUUUAAUGUUUGAUGUUCUAACGUGGACCCGUAAUCCGGGUUGCGGACAGUGUCUGGUGGGUAGUUUGACUGGGGCGGUCUCCUCCUAAAGAGUAACGGAGGAGCACGAAGGUUGGCUAAUCCUGGUCGGACAUCAGGAGGUUAGUGCAAUGGCAUAAGCCAGCUUGACUGCGAGCGUGACGGCGCGAGCAGGUGCGAAAGCAGGUCAUAGUGAUCCGGUGGUUCUGAAUGGAAGGGCCAUCGCUCAACGGAUAAAAGGUACUCCGGGGAUAACAGGCUGAUACCGCCCAAGAGUUCAUAUCGACGGCGGUGUUUGGCACCUCGAUGUCGGCUCAUCACAUCCUGGGGCUGAAGUAGGUCCCAAGGGUAUGGCUGUUCGCCAUUUAAAGUGGUACGCGAGCUGGGUUUAGAACGUCGUGAGACAGUUCGGUCCCUAUCUGCCGUGGGCGCUGGAGAACUGAGGGGGGCUGCUCCUAGUACGAGAGGACCGGAGUGGACGCAUCACUGGUGUUCGGGUUGUCAUGCCAAUGGCACUGCCCGGUAGCUAAAUGCGGAAGAGAUAAGUGCUGAAAGCAUCUAAGCACGAAACUUGCCCCGAGAUGAGUUCUCCCUGAGACUUUAGGUCUCCUGAAGGAACGUUGAAGACGACGACGUUGAUAGGCCGGGUGUGUAAGCGCAGCGAUGCGUUGAGCUAACCGGUACUAAUGAACCGUGAGGCUUAACCUU